CAGUAGCCACGGGAAUACGGAGGGUGCAAGCGUUAAUCGGAAUUACUGGGCGUAAAGCGCACGCAGGCGGUCUGACAAGUCAGAUGUGAAAUCCCCGGGCUUAACCUGGGAACUGCAUUUGAAACUGUCAGGCUGGAGUCUUGUAGAGGGGGGUAGAAUUCCAGGUGUAGCGGUGAAAUGCGUAGAGAUCUGGAGGAAUACCGGUGGCGAAGGCGGCCCCCUGGACAAAGACUGACGCUCAGGUGCGAAAGCGUGGGGAGCAAACAGGAUUAGAUACCCGGGUAGUCCCUGUCUCUUAUAC
rnacentral:rRNA from 1 species